rnacentral:lncRNA from 1 species
CUCAUUACUAAUCCUACCAAUUCUAUCACAUUUAUCUAGGCAUAAGAGUACACAAUUUGGGACUUCUUUAAUAUAACAUUAACUUAAAAGAUUAGUAGAUCAUACAUCUCACAGCUCGAAGGGAUAAAUUAUUAUUGGUCCCACAAAAGAGACUUUAGACCUUUUAAGUUGUCACAAUAUUCUAGCGCUAGAAAUUCAUGUUAUAUAGUUCAUCUUUUCACCUAAAAUUUUUGUUAGUGCAUAUAUUCACUAGUUUGAUGAGGGAUAGAAUGAAAUUGCAUAGUAAAGAAGGAGAAGGGACGAGGCAGUCUGGUAUUGUGUUGAGAUGAGAAACGGAAGGAGCAAGGAGUGGGGGUUAACAAUGUUGUAGUGGUGUUGGGGUGAGGGAGACUGGGGGCAGGGAAGAGGCAGUGUGGCAGCAUCUGUUCAUUGAUGGAUGAGGUAGAGGAGAGAAACUAGGGAUGGGAGUUUAUGGAAAAGAUAGUUCGCGGAAAUGACACAACCCAAAACCAGAGAGGAACAACAUUGUACAAUAGAGUAGCAGAGAAGAAUUGUUUAAACCGGCCUUCUACAACGAAACUUCUCAUUUUCUUACAAUACCAAAUUAUUUGAUGGGAGCUUUAAGCAUCUUGCAUGAGAAAAUUCUUGAACCAUAUGGCUGAUUCUUUUGGGUACCUUGUGAAAUACCCGUCCUUGAGAUCUACAUAGAGCAUACCAAAUCGAACGCUGAAACCCCAUUCGUAAUUGUCCAAUAACGACCAUGCAAAGUAGCCUUUUACCUUAACACCAUCACUGCAAGAAGUGAAAUUCAUGGGUAAAAUUAUCUUUACCUUGCUCAUAAUCACUAAAAAACUUGAAUUCAAAAUUAUCUUUACCUUGUUCAUGAGCACUAAAAAACUUAAAUUCGAAUAUAAUAUUUAAAUUCGAAUUAGUCUUAAACACAGAGAGAAGGAGAGUUGUUUAAGUACUUAUUUCAUUGCUUUGUUAAGGUAAAGAAGAUGAUUAAGGUGGUAAUCUUUCCUCAUAUCAUUGAUGCGUGCUUCUUUAAGUGUUUAUUUGAUAUUAUUCACUUCGCACAACCCUGCCAAAAUGAAUGUUUAGGAUUCGAUCAAUAUUUAAUCACUCAUCGAUGUAGUCCUCACAAGUCUUUCCUCAUAUCAUUGGGUGCAAUGUUUGUUUACAAAAAAUUUAAGUGUACUCAAAGGUAUGUAUUCAUGAUGCGUUUGGAGUUCCGAUAAGAAAGAGGUUGGAUAGGAUAUUGUUAUACAAUCUCCACCCUCCACAUCAUCGUUAUUAAGGUUAUAUUUAAGUAAAUUGAUAUCCUUAUUUUAUUCAAAGUAAAUUGGUAUCCUUAUCCGGUCUAUGGUCUCUCUUAUACCAUGUUCUAUUUGGUACAACCUCAUACCGUUUUACGAAAUUUAGUGUAUAAAUCUAAUGCUAAUGUGAUUGGGUACCACAUCAAUGCCAUAUCAACCAUAGAAUAAGCUAUGUAGAUACAUAUAUUGAGAAGAAAACCACUCUAAACAAGUGAUAAGGCUGAAUAUAUAGAUCCAUACGUGGAUCUAUAGCAUUAGAUACAAAUACUGAGAAGAAAACCACUCUAAACAAGUGAUAAGGCUGAAUAUAUAGAUCAAUACGUGCUUCUAUAGCAUUGGAUAGACAACAUGGUGGUGAGGUCAAGAGUCAAGGGAAAGACUCGUCGCAUAUACUAUUAUAUCGCAUUGUUGGGUGAAAGAGUUGAAGAUUAAGGGAUUGGUGCUCUAGAGUCUUUAUGAGUGGAUCGUGGAGCUUCUUUUGUUUUAAGAGGAGAGGCCAAAUUUCCUAUUUCUUUUAUUUUUUUUUAAUUUUUGUAUUUUAUUUUAGUUAUUUUUUUUCCUCUAUUUUGACCAGACGCGGAGUUUGGUAGUCUAGAACCUCUUGGCCGGAUGUGGUUGGAUUGAGGUGUAUGCAAAAAAAAUAUCUACUUGAAAAACUGUUGAGAACCAGAGCAAAUACGCGGAGGUGCGUGACAUGAAUUUUCGAAAAUUUGGAGUUGCUUGGCUUAGUUAUGAGCUAGAGUAGGCAGCCUUUGCCAGUUGAUCUCAGACUCAGCCUAACAAAGGCUGAGGGGCAAAUGAACUGGGCCAAGUUUUUGUCCUCUGACCAUUCGGGUCGAGGUAGCUGGAAUGAGCUAGGUCCAGAGCAUUCUUGUUCGGGUUAGACUAACUGGAUUAGACUAGUCUCGGAGCAUACUUGGUUGAAUUGGACCUAAGUGAGGCGGACUGCCCAGGAGACCGAAUGCCUAGGCCUAAAGUGAAACCCAAUUGCAUCUAAGUUAUUCUAGAAGGUGCUUAAGACAUUGGGAACUUGAGAGUCUCACUUAGGGAAGGAAACUAUUGGGAUAUCAAUACUUGAUAAAGGGAGGAUUCUUUAGAGGAUUAGGUGAUUUGGUUAAAUCCUAGGAGGACUAAAAUACGGAGGAAUACUAUAAAACGGGGUCAAGAUUCAGCACUUAUCUUUGAGUAAAUAAUUCUCUUUAAAACUUGUCUCUGACUUAAGUAUCGAAAAGUUUUUAUGUUCUUGCAAGAACCCUACUUGGUAAGAUCUACGAAAACAUGAUUUUCUAAGGUGAAAACCUACCCAACCACAGAUAAAUACCAAGAGGUGGUACCAAAAAAAUAAGGUCCUCCAUAUGGCUAGUAAACGUACUAAUCUUUUAUGGAAAAUGCUAAUGAGUGAUUAAGGAAGAAAAAGUGUAUUAAAAAAUAUAAAAAAUAUAUUAAAUCAAAACAUUUACCUUUUUGUGCGUCUUGACCAUACCCAAUGAAUAUUAAUUUGCAAGACCGGUCAUUUAUUGUACAUGAAAUGCCUUCAAUGGAGUUGAAGUGGGGGUGGUUGGUGAUCAUUAUUGCUUAUAAAGCGAAUUGUACGUAAAUGGAAGACUAUAGCUCUCAAGUGGUCAUAUGCUUGUGGGUAAUGUUAUGGUACACCCAACUUGCACCCUAAAUACAUACUUGAUGAGGUGGUGCAUUUAAAUUGGAUGUAUAUUGGCUAAAAGAACUGGGUGAAUCCCACACUUAACAAAUCCAAAUGCACCACCUCAUUAAGUGUGUAUUUAGGAUGCAAAUUAAAUAUACCCAUAGCAUUUCCUUAUGCUUGUGGAUCUUGAACCACACCAUUAGAGUUCAAGCUUUAGGUAUCCCCUCUAAGAUUCAUUUUUCUUUUCCUUUUCCUCACUAGAUUCAUAAUCCAAACUAAGCCUUAAAGUAAAUAUUAGAAUGCCAAUUAUGGCUCGUAAUAACUCAUCUUCUAAGGCAUAGCACAAUUCUUUCACCAUCUAGCAUUAAUCUAUCAGCACUGCUACAGUUCUAUAAUUCACACGCUCAAAUGAAUCUGAACAAUCGAUUUUGAAUUUAACAUUUUGGGCUCAAAUUCUAGAAUUGUAAAGGUUUUGUUAAUCUACCCAGUUAAAAUAUCACUCAUGAAAAAUGAUAGGUACACAUCCAAAAUAGGUGUGUACAAGAUACAUCCACUUUUUAUCUCACAAACACAGUGGGGCUCGCUCUAAUUAGGGUUUUCUACAAACCCUAAUUAGGGGCCAAAACCCUAACUAAGGCGAGCCCCAUUGUGUUUGUGAGAUAUAAAAAGUGAGUGUCUUGUACACACCCAUUUUUUGGGUGUGUACCUAUCAUUGCCCAUCACUCAUCUGCCCAUCUGGCUACCCAAAAUCUAAACAUCAAAAUUCUAUUUUUAUUUAUAUUGCGUAAUAAAUGGGCUUCUAAUCGCAUACCUUCUGCUUAAGAUUGUACGGAGUAGAUACGGCAACAAAUGAGGUUGAAGAAGGUUUUAACUUUUUAACCAUUAAUCACAUUUAAAAGAAUAUAUAAUCCCAUGAAUAAAUCAACAAUAUGGAACCCAGCCAUUUAAUGUUGGGGAAACGUGGAACCCACUUGAUACAGACUACACCAAGAAUGAAACAGCAAGGAAAUGGUGCCAUAUGAAAGGAGGGGAUAAUAAAUAAAUAACCACACUAGGCUUGGCGAAAAGGGGGAGAAGCUGGGGUCCAUGUUCUAUCCAUCAUUUAGUCUCUUCCCUUAUGUGUAACAAAUAUGGUAAGCAAAAGAGAGCCUCAAGUAACUCGUACCCAAAAAAAUGAUAGAUUGAUGCAUAAAAAGAUGCACAAAUUUACGAGUUAAAGAAAUAUAACUAUCCCUACGUUGCAGUUCUCAUAUUCAACUGCCAUUUUCUCACUAUCUGUGAAAAAGUAAAGCUUAAGAUGUCAUAACCAUCGUUAAAUUGCAUUCCUUCAACAACAUUUAGGCUGUUUUCAGCACAUUUUCCCUCUUCCAAGCGUCACCACACUUUACUGGUCAUGGAUGGCUUCAGAACAAACUGCAGCUGCAGCUGCUAGUUUGCUGUCUUCAAGCUCUGAUUUUGUAUGCAGUUAGUAAAUCCUAAACUACCAGAACAGAAUUUGACAAAUGAAUAUUGAGCUUUUCAUAUAAUACUAUCCCAAAAAAGAAUUUUUACUCCACAUUCUAUCCAUCAUUUAGAUAAUAAAAGGUAUAUAGCAUUCAUGAAAUACGACUGCACGAUACUGCAUGGUACCCACAAUGUGGGGAAUAAAUGGCAAAGAAAUUGAAUUAGAGUUCACUAAUGCACUGAAUUUAACAGCUAAACAUGAUCAUCUGCUGCAACAGGACUGUGUUCCAGCAUUCUGGGGAAUUUCUUGGGCAAAGUGAACACAGGUUCUUCACCGCUUGAGCCCUGAGACGCCAAACCUAGGGCAUACCCUAAGGCUUGAGAAACUGGUACAGCUACUGCAUUCCCAACUUGCAUGUACCUUGAGCAACCCAAAGGUAUAAACUUAGAUUCUAAAAAAAGAAUAACAAUAAAUAAACAAGGGUUACCAAUGAAAUCAAAUCAACAUUCCAUGUAAUUUCUUUAUAUUUGGAGAUUUACCUACAAGAUGAACUGAAGGAAUCUCAAUGCUCUCAAGGCAAACUCUACGAACAUGACUUGUGUUUAAAUGGAAAGUUGAUUAAUGAUCUGAGUUUGGAUUCAAAAUGUUCAUCUUCAUCAAAGAGACGUGGUUUUCUUUUGCUUCAUCUCAAGCUAUGAAGCAUGGGUACUUCCAAAAGAAUGCCAUAGUUGUAUCGUAAUAUUGGGUAUCAGUGCGUUGCAUUAUAAAUCUACAUGCGUACUGAGUACGCAAAACACAACAGUUUUUUGUUUAUAAAUUGGGUGCGUACCUGACUCCUUGGGGGUAUGGUAAGGCCUAACUACAACUUUAUAUUGAAGUAUACAGGUACUCGAACAGACCUUUAUUUUAUUCAGGGUUGAUGUCAGUUCAAUAUGACUUCCUUUUAAGCUUAACAUGAACUAAGUUCUGGUUUGCAGGCUUUCUUAUGCAAUGAUAAAAGUGGGGUUUGUACCUUACUUUUGACAUUAAACUCUGGUUCACUAGUUUGAUCCUUAAUCAAUAAAGCCAUAUAACUGAUUUUUGCAUUUGAUUUUCAUAUUGUUACUUGUAAAGUAACAACCACAUGAGCUCCCCCAAAAGGGCAAGCCAAGGAGGUAACAAUUAUGUUCAUUGCUCCUACUUGGGAGCCCAAGGUCUCCCAUGACUUAUGAUGUAGGACGGGAUGUUACAAACUCUCCACCUAUAUGUCCUCACGUCCUACAGCAGCAAGGAAGAGUCCAGCACUAGAGUCACCCAAAAACAGAGGCAAUUCCCUAGUUGUCGGAGUCACCCGUACAUAUAGGUUAUUCCCUAGACUUGGCUCUAUGCCUACAAGGUAGUGCACGCAAGUUAGCUCUGAUGCCAUAAAAAACAAUCGCAGGAGCUUCCCAAAAAGGGCUAGCCAAGGAGGUGACAAUAGGUUUCAUAUCUCCCACUUGUAUACUUCCGAUGUGGGAUGGGGUGUUACAUAUGAUGAUUGCUGCAAAUGAUACAAUUAUAUAUUUUAUGGACAUCAUGAUCAUAUCCUAAUCUUAAUUUUUUAGGUUUUGUCGUGUCAAUGUACCCGUAAGGUUACCAAUUCUUGUGCUUGUAAUGCUGCUCUUAAGAUAAAUAAGGCUUCCUAAGGUCACGAGGGUAGUUAUCCCCCACUAGUGAGCCUCAUAAAUCUCAUCACUCCUUAAAAAAGCUAGGCUCUUUUGGAGGUAGACUCAACUGUGCGAGUAAUUAACUUUAAGGCCACAAAUAGAAUGUGUUCAUCUAAAAAGGGGGGAACACAAAAUAGGGAAAACUAGUAUUCAUUAUAAAUGUGUAAUUGGACAUGCACCAAAAAUUUGUUUAAAUAGGAAAGUUUAACAUAAAACCGUGCAUAGGCACUCAUUAAUGCAUAAAGCUACUGUGCUUCUAAAAGCCAUUUUGUCAUAAUAAAAGUACAUAAAAAACAUAAAAUUUAGUUAUGUCAUCAUGAUCAUGCUUUAGACAAUGAACUUGGCAAUCACGCAAGAAAGAACAACAGUGUUUUCAGGCAAGGAAUAAAAAAGAACCCAGAAUGAGAAGUGGUGGACAGAUGGGGAGAGGACCUCUCCUCGGUUCUGCAUAAAAGUGGGAAGUGAGUUUUGGAUUGCAUGCGUGAUUGCUAGACCCACAGGGUCAGUGGCCUCCCCUCCCAUCUUACAUUUUUUGUUGUAUUCCUUCUAAACAAAAAGAGAACAAUGGGUCCUCGAACCAUUCAUGUGCAUAUAUAUACUAAUAUAUGUAGAUAUAAAUAUGAUUUUACAGGUACCAACAUAAAUUUACUGGCAGUGACGUCUAACAAGCAAGCAACAUGAUGUCCAAUUCUACAAUUUCUUAAAUCAGGAAAAUCAAAUUAGCAAGAUUAUUCACGAAUGACAAUGGAAAUCUUUGGUGAAUUAUUAAUGAGAUGAUGCAGAUUCUUUAUAUAAAUGUUUGUAUAUCUACUGGGCUUCCUAUACUAAUUAACUCGUCUUAUUCAAUACCAAUCAAUUUGAGCUACAUUUAUUGUUCAGAAGAGGAUAUUGUUGAAUCAUCAGUCUCUUUUUUAAUCUUUUUCUUAGACAAUGAAUCUGGCAUUUGCACAGCAUAAGAUAGCAGUGCUUUCAAGCAAGAAAGAGAAUAAAAACCAAACUUAAGUCAAUCCAACUAAGGAAAAAAAAUGAGAGCAAUGAUUUGAGAUGAGGAGCACAUAAAUGACUCAUGGUAAUUUUCAUGAGCCACCUGUUAUAGAGCAUACCUUUCUUUAACUGGGCCAAAAAGUUUAUAGGAGUCGGGAAAACCUUGCAAUCUUGCAUUUUCACGAAUUGUGAGGACUCUGUCUUGCUCAGGGUGCAAUAUUAUCUGACAUAGUUUUCAAGACAUGUUAAACCUGAACAACUAUAUGCCUACCUACAUAUAUUUCUAAGUUUGGAUCUUGGGUUUGAGGAGAAAAUAUAAAAGGCAAGGGAAAACAUAAGGAAAGAAAAUAUUAAAAGAACCUAUAUUUUUCUCUUUAUAUAUGUUUGGCUUAUUUUUUUCAGGAAUUUUAUUUCCUUACAUUUUUUUUG